rnacentral:rRNA from 1 species
CCUACGGGAGGCAGCAGUGAGGAAUAUUGGGCAAUGGGCGAAAGCCUGACCCAGCGACGCCGCGUGUGGGAUGACGGAGCUCUGCUUCGUAAACCACUGUCGGAGGGGAAGAAAAGCGGGGACGCCCCGCUGGGACUGUACCCUCAGAGGAAGGAUCGGCUAACUACGUGCCAGCAGCCGCGGUAAAACGUAGGAUCCGAGCGUUGUCCGGAAUCACUGGGUGUAAAGGGUGCGUAGGCGGGCUUGCGCGUCAAGGGUAAAAGACCUCGGCGCAACCGGGGGAAUGCCCUUGAUACGGCAGGCCUUGAGUGCGGGAGAGGAUGGUGGAAUUCCUGGUGUAGCGGUGAAAUGCGUAGAGAUCAGGAGGAACACCGGUGGCGUAGGCGGCGUCCGGGCCGA